rnacentral:lncRNA from 1 species
AUUCUGUCCAUCCACAACUACAAAAAAAAAAAAAGGAGGAGGAGGAGGAAUGGAAAAGCAGGUCAUAGUAGUGCACACCUGUAACCCAGCUACUUGGGAGCCUGAGGCAGGAAGAUCACAAGUUUAAGGCCAGCCUGGCAACUUAGUGGGACCCUGUCUCAAAAUACAAAAUCAAAAGGGCUGGGGAUGGAGCUCAGUGGUAGAGCACCCCUGGGUUCAAUCCCUAGUACUGCAAAAAAAAAAAAAAAAAAUCAAGAUAAAAGGAAAUGAAUAGAAGUUGGACUCUUCUAAUUGGAGACUUGCUUGAGAAAUUGGGUCAAGGGAUACCAAGAGCCAACACUGACCACCACCUCUGCGCUAGGAAGUACUAAAUAAGCAUUUGGUUAAGUUGGUGGACUUGUUGAAUCCCAGGGGCAGCACCAUGCAGGGCCUUUCCAUUCUCAUCAGGUGAGCAGGUGAGGAGACAAGUGCAGUGAGCCCAGGGCCAGGGUCAGAUCUGAGACAGCACAGCAGAAUGAUUCUGUUUGGACGGUGGUCUUGGUCGCCUCUGGACCUGUCAUCUCCUUUGGUGGCUCACAUCAGUGGAUACUAAAGGAAAACAGGAACUUGCAGAACCUGUGGCAGGCAGCCAGGGCACAGGCCACUCCCUAUCCCUUCCUCCAGUGCCUGAGAUGAGCCAAAAGUUGAGCUGCAGUGACCUUGUCCCUUGCUUUGGGAUCCUGAGCUGACUUAGUUUGGUAAACACUGCUCCUACAGACU